rnacentral:tRNA from 1 species
GGAGAGGUGCCCGGAGUGGUGGAUGGGGGACCAGCGAGCUCGCCUCACGGUCGGGCACCUUUUCAAGGGUCCACGCAGGUUCGAAUCCUGCCCUCUCCG